rnacentral:snRNA from 1 species
GGAUGCAAGGGUGAUCUGGCUGUGACUUCUGUCACCCCACUGAUGGCCAGGGUUGAUUCCGCUGAUCUAGCUGCUCUGAAGCUGGGCUCUUGGAGGAAGAGGACAACCUUCCCCAAUAGAGCUGUAGCAUUCUUCGGUCAAGGGUAUAUGAGUGGCUGCACUCCCCUGCUAGAACAAGCUUCCAAAGUCCAUCUGAAACAUACGACUUAUGUGACAUAGCCAAAUUCCUUAGCCAUUCAGUGUCUGCAGGAACUCU